GGGUUGUGAGGUUAAGCGACUAAGCGUACACGGUGGAUGCCCUGGCAGUCAGAGGCGAUGAAGGACGUGCUAAUCUGCGAUAAGCGUCGGUAAGGUGAUAUGAACCGUUAUAACCGGCGAUUUCCGAAUGGGGAAACCCAGUGUGUUUCGACACACUAUCAUUAACUGAAUCCAUAGGUUAAUGAGGCGAACCGGGGGAACUGAAACAUCUAAGUACCCCGAGGAAAAGAAAUCAACCGAGAUUCCCCCAGUAGCGGCGAGCGAACGGGGAGCAGCCCAGAGCCUGAAUCAGUGUGUGUGUUAGUGGAAGCGUCUGGAAAGGCGCGCGAUACAGGGUGACAGCCCCGUACACAAAAAUGCACAUGCUGUGAGCUCGAUGAGUAGGGCGGGACACGUGGUAUCCUGUCUGAAUAUGGGGGGACCAUCCUCCAAGGCUAAAUACUCCUGACUGACCGAUAGUGAACCAGUACCGUGAGGGAAAGGCGAAAAGAACCCCGGCGAGGGGAGUGAAAAAGAACCUGAAACCGUGUACGUACAAGCAGUGGGAGCCUCUUUUAUGGGGUGACUGCGUACCUUUUGUAUAAUGGGUCAGCGACUUAUAUUCUGUAGCAAGGUUAACCGAAUAGGGGAGCCGAAGGGAAACCGAGUCUUAACUGGGCGUUAAGUUGCAGGGUAUAGACCCGAAACCCGGUGAUCUAGCCAUGGGCAGGUUGAAGGUUGGGUAACACUAACUGGAGGACCGAACCGACUAAUGUUGAAAAAUUAGCGGAUGACUUGUGGCUGGGGGUGAAAGGCCAAUCAAACCGGGAGAUAGCUGGUUCUCCCCGAAAGCUAUUUAGGUAGCGCCUCGUGAAUUCAUCUCCGGGGGUAGAGCACUGUUUCGGCAAGGGGGUCAUCCCGACUUACCAACCCGAUGCAAACUGCGAAUACCGGAGAAUGUUAUCACGGGAGACACACGGCGGGUGCUAACGUCCGUCGUGAAGAGGGAAACAACCCAGACCGCCAGCUAAGGUCCCAAAGUCAUGGUUAAGUGGGAAACGAUGUGGGAAGGCCCAGACAGCCAGGAUGUUGGCUUAGAAGCAGCCAUCAUUUAAAGAAAGCGUAAUAGCUCACUGGUCGAGUCGGCCUGCGCGGAAGAUGUAACGGGGCUAAACCAUGCACCGAAGCUGCGGCAGCGACGCUUAUGCGUUGUUGGGUAGGGGAGCGUUCUGUAAGCCUGUGAAGGUGUGCUGUGAGGCAUGCUGGAGGUAUCAGAAGUGCGAAUGCUGACAUAAGUAACGAUAAAGCGGGUGAAAAGCCCGCUCGCCGGAAGACCAAGGGUUCCUGUCCAACGUUAAUCGGGGCAGGGUGAGUCGACCCCUAAGGCGAGGCCGAAAGGCGUAGUCGAUGGGAAACAGGUUAAUAUUCCUGUACUUGGUGUUACUGCGAAGGGGGGACGGAGAAGGCUAUGUUGGCCGGGCGACGGUUGUCCCGGUUUAAGCGUGUAGGCUGGUUUUCCAGGCAAAUCCGGAAAAUCAAGGCUGAGGCGUGAUGACGAGGCACUACGGUGCUGAAGCAACAAAUGCCCUGCUUCCAGGAAAAGCCUCUAAGCAUCAGGUAACAUCAAAUCGUACCCCAAACCGACACAGGUGGUCAGGUAGAGAAUACCAAGGCGCUUGAGAGAACUCGGGUGAAGGAACUAGGCAAAAUGGUGCCGUAACUUCGGGAGAAGGCACGCUGAUAUGUAGGUGAAGCGACUUGCUCGUGGAGCUGAAAUCAGUCGAAGAUACCAGCUGGCUGCAACUGUUUAUUAAAAACACAGCACUGUGCAAACACGAAAGUGGACGUAUACGGUGUGACGCCUGCCCGGUGCCGGAAGGUUAAUUGAUGGGGUCAGCGCAAGCGAAGCUCUUGAUCGAAGCCCCGGUAAACGGCGGCCGUAACUAUAACGGUCCUAAGGUAGCGAAAUUCCUUGUCGGGUAAGUUCCGACCUGCACGAAUGGCGUAAUGAUGGCCAGGCUGUCUCCACCCGAGACUCAGUGAAAUUGAACUCGCUGUGAAGAUGCAGUGUACCCGCGGCAAGACGGAAAGACCCCGUGAACCUUUACUAUAGCUUGACACUGAACAUUGAGCCUUGAUGUGUAGGAUAGGUGGGAGGCUUUGAAGUGUGGACGCCAGUCUGCAUGGAGCCGACCUUGAAAUACCACCCUUUAAUGUUUGAUGUUCUAACGUUGACCCGUAAUCCGGGUUGCGGACAGUGUCUGGUGGGUAGUUUGACUGGGGCGGUCUCCUCCUAAAGAGUAACGGAGGAGCACGAAGGUUGGCUAAUCCUGGUCGGACAUCAGGAGGUUAGUGCAAUGGCAUAAGCCAGCUUGACUGCGAGCGUGACGGCGCGAGCAGGUGCGAAAGCAGGUCAUAGUGAUCCGGUGGUUCUGAAUGGAAGGGCCAUCGCUCAACGGAUAAAAGGUACUCCGGGGAUAACAGGCUGAUACCGCCCAAGAGUUCAUAUCGACGGCGGUGUUUGGCACCUCGAUGUCGGCUCAUCACAUCCUGGGGCUGAAGUAGGUCCCAAGGGUAUGGCUGUUCGCCAUUUAAAGUGGUACGCGAGCUGGGUUUAGAACGUCGUGAGACAGUUCGGUCCCUAUCUGCCGUGGGCGCUGGAGAACUGAGGGGGGCUGCUCCUAGUACGAGAGGACCGGAGUGGACGCAUCACUGGUGUUCGGGUUGUCAUGCCAAUGGCACUGCCCGGUAGCUAAAUGCGGAAGAGAUAAGUGCUGAAAGCAUCUAAGCACGAAACUUGCCCCGAGAUGAGUUCUCCCUGACUCCUUGAGAGUCCUGAAGGAACGUUGAAGACGACGACGUUGAUAGGCCGGGUGUGUAAGCGCAGCGAUGCGUUGAGCUAACCGGUACUAAUGAACCGUGAGG
rnacentral:rRNA from 1 species